ACUGAAUCCUUGAUAAGUCUCCACUUCUUCCUCUCGUCUCAAACAAAGACACAGUUGUGAAAUGGAAAGCUUAGAUGAAUAUCAGCUGUACUGGGAAACCAACCGAUAUUAUAAUGCUGAAGAACUAGGCAGCUUGUUGCUGGAUGACACAUUAUCAGCCUACUACGAUUCCAGUUCACCGGACGGAGGCCAGUCUUCAGCUGCAUCAAAAAACAUAGUCUCGGAAAGAAACAGAAGGAAGAAACUAAAUGAUAGGCUCUAUGCCCUCCGAGCUGUUGUCCCUAACAUAACUAAGAUGGACAAGGCAUCGAUUGUGAAAGAUGCAAUAAGCUAUAUUCAGGAACUGCAAGAACAAGAGAGAAGAAUCCAAGGUGAAAUAGCCCAACUGGAGUCCAUGGCUUCCAAGAAACAAGAUUUGUAUAGUGAGGACUCGAAACAAGCAGACCAGACAUCAGCAUGUAAGAAGAAGAAGAGAACUGUGCAUGAGCCACAACAGCUGUGUUCCUAUGACUCCGGGAAAUCAUCAUCAACAUCAUCCCCCAUCGAAGUCAUUGAGCUGAGGGUGUCGUAUAUCGGAGAAAAAACAAUUGUGGUGAGCCUGACAUGCACUAAAACAACGGACACAAUAAUCAAGCUCUGCCAAGUUUUUGAAACAUUGAAGCUUAAGAUUAUCACUGCCAACAUUACUUCCUUAUCUGAUACCCUCUUGAAGACACUUUUUAUCGAGUGACACAAUUGAGAAGAUUUUGACAAUCACAAGAGAGGAAAAGAGAUUACCACUUUCUGGUGUGCGAAUAUAGAAGUAGCGUAUGCUUCCAUUAGUCCUCGUGACCUUGUGUCAUAUACAUAACCGAGAUUCUCUGUUUCACGUGAUAGCGUUUAUCAAGCACAAGCUGGUCCAGGGCAGAUGAGACGGAGAAAAAUACGGUGAAGACGGAGAUCGAAACUGCUAUAGCAGCUCAUAAUCAGCCAGACAGUCCAAUGAGCUGCUAACUCAACAGCGAUACCUAUGCUAGGUGCAGUAAUAUCGAAAACUCUUGAUAGUAACUUUUGGUUUUACGUGGGUUAAAGUUAGAUAAAAAGACAAGAAUUGCGAGGACUAAAUAUUCUGCAAAGUGCAGUCUUCAUAUACCAAAAAUAGUUCUGACAAUUCUUUGAUUUUUAUCUGUUUGUGUAUGUACUCCCUCCGUCCCAAUCAAUUCUAUACAGUUUCCUUUUUGGGACGUCCCAUCAUUUCUAUACAUUCCAAAUAUAGUAACUUUUAAUAAUAUAAAACACUAUUACACCCACUUCUUUCUUCCACUAUCUCCAUUCUAUAAUAAUAUAAACACUAUUACACCCACUAUUUUCCUCCACUAUCUCAAAUCUAUCAUUAAAUAUAAAUGGGUCCCACCACUUUACACACUUUUCAUCUCACUUUACUCACUUUUUACACUUUUUCUUGAUCUCCGUGUCCAAACCAAAUGUAUACAAUCUACCGGGACGGAGGGAGUAUGGUUUUAUCUAUUUCGGCGGCUGUAUUAUUUUUAAUUAAUGUAAUAACAUGCAACUGUUUUCUUGUACUUCAAUAAUGAACGUCGUCUUCAAUUAGUA